CAACGAUUAAAAAUCAUUCCCAGAGUCAGAUUACCGUUCGACGAAACGAUCUGACCAAGAUAGAGAUGGGAGAGAUGGGAUCGACGGCAGGAGAAAAGGCUAGGCUUUCUCCGUCCUCGCUCCUCUCAAAUGGCAACAAGCAAGAAGAACCAUGGGAGUGAUGGGAGCUCACACAUUUUCAACUCUAAUCCCAAUUGACCACAACCCCACCAAUUCGUUGUCUUUUUGUUUGUUUCAAGGGAGUUGCUAGGGGGAGCUGGGGUUUGGGGCAGAAAUGGGGUGUAUCCGGUUGACACCGAAAUUCUGGGGCCAAUCUCUUCUUUAUGCAAGUCAGCAAGGAAAGUUCAGACAUACCAUCUUUUGAUCAUUGAUGAAUCAUAAGCAGGUUCUUAUGAAGGCUUGAGUAUUUAACUGGCUAGGGGAAGAAAAAAUUCAUACGCAAGUUCAAGUAGCAUUUAGUGCAUAUCUCACCACUCCCUUCGAUGUGAUCAAAACAAGAUGUCAAGUUCCCUGAUCAGCCUUGAGGUCGAUGAAUGCUUGGAUGCAAUUCGUAGCCUGUGGAUGGAUGAAGAUGCCCAGGGGAUGUUCAAAGAUAGCAGUCUUUUGGAUUACACUCUAUAGUCCAGCUUCCGCUCUUACUUUUGCAGCAUUUGUGAAAGACCAUUCCAAAGGACUGAGAAGAAACAGGAAGUUGCUAGCAUGUUAGUAGAGAAAAAGGAUCGCCUUCAGAUGGGCAUGAUAAACUUGCACUGAUCUGUUUUUCCCAUCUCUAGUUUGUUGAACUGAUUAGGGCAUUUCCAUGUGUCAUAGUAAUCAUUUGGACGAGAAUUUGUGAUAUGUUUUCAUGUAAUAUGUGUAUAUACAUAUAAAGAUAUUAAAAAGGAAGUUUUUGUGA